rnacentral:rRNA from 1 species
GUGUCAGCCGCCGCGGUAAUACAGAGGGUGCAAGCGUUAAUCGGAUUUACUGGGCGUAAAGCGUGCGUAGGCGGUUCGUUAAGUCGAUUGUGAAAGCCCUGGGCUCAACCUAGGAAUUGCAGUCGAUACUGGCGGGCUAGAGAACGGUAGAGGGAGGCGGAACUCCAGGUGUAGCAGUGAAAUGCGUAGAUAUCUGGAAGAACACCGAUGGCGAAGGCAACCUCCUGGGCCUGUUCUGACGCUGAGGCACGAAAGCGUGGGGAGCAAACAGGAUUAGAAACCCUAGUAGUCC